UAGGGAAUCUUCGGCAAUGGGGGGAACCCUGACCGAGCAACGCCGCGUGAGUGAAGAAGGUUUUCGGAUCGUAAAGCUCUGUUGUUAAGGAAGAAAGAGUGUGAGAAUGGAAAGUUCAUGCUGUGACGGUACUUAACCAGAAAGGGACGGCUAACUACGUGCCAGCAGCCGCGGUAAUACGUAGGUCCCGAGCGUUGUCCGGAUUUAUUGGGCGUAAAGCGAGCGCAGGCGGUUAGAAAAGUCUGAAGUGAAAGGCAGUGGCUCAACCAUUGUAGGCUUUGGAAACUGUUUAACUGGAGUGCAGAAGGGGAGGGUGGAAUUCCAUGUGUAGCGGUGAAAUGCGUGGAUAUAUGGAGGAAAACCGGUGGCGAGAGCGGCUCUCUGGUCUGUAACUGACGCUGAGGCUCGAAAGCGUGGGGAGCGAACAGG
rnacentral:rRNA from 1 species